CGUAGGGUGCGAGCGUGAAUCGGAAUUACUGGGCGUAAAGCGUGCGCAGGCGGUUUGUUAAGUCCGCUGUGAAAUCCCCGAGCUCAACUUGGGAAUUGCAGUGGAUACUGGCAAGCUGGAGUAUGGUAGAGGAAGGUGGAAUUCCCGGUGUAGCAGUGAAAUGCGUAGAGAUCGGGAGGAACACCAGUGGCGAAGGCGGCCUUCUGGACCAAUACUGACGCUCAUGCACGAAAGCGUGGGGAGCAAACAGG
rnacentral:rRNA from 1 species